ACUUUAAGUUAAUGGGACAACAGUUGCGGUAGGACUGCCUUGCCAGUACCAUAAAGAUGCAGACAACCAGGUGCACUGGUACUCUAUCGAUGCCGGUCACCAGAGGCACGCUGGUACCCUAUCGAUGCCAGUCGUCAGAGGUGCGCUGGACCCAUGUCAACAUUACAAUAAUCAACUGUUUUCAACAAGAUUUAAAAAAGGCAAGAAGACACUGAUUGACAUUAUUUAGAGACAUAGAAAAAGAAUCGAAUGCAGAAAACAGAUAUCUUCAUGCUGUCCUGUGUUUGAUGUUCCCGACAGCCGACAGUCCAAUACAUGCCAGAUUGAUUUCAAAGGCACAAGUGAGAAAUAUCUGCAGAAGGAGGAACCAAGUAUGAUGAAUCAACAACAGAUCUGGCACAAGCAUAUAAGCAUGACACCGUCACAGCCGCCCUGACACAAACUUAGUUAAACAUAUGUCAGACAUGUAUAUAAUUAUACCCCCACUUACAAAGUAUAUGGGGCUAUAUUGGAGUCACGCAUGUUCGUCCGUCCGUCCAUCGUGUACGCCGGGAAUAUGAUAAAACUGGCUCAUCAAGACCAUGUGCAGAGCGUAAAACCUAGUCACUAGGCAUAAACUUAAGGUUACUGUUGGAGGUUAAAGGUCAAAUAGCUUAACUUCAUGUCGACUCCAUAUUGUCUAAACGGCGUAGAAGACAUUUAGCUCGACUUUUCGAAGAAUAAUGUAGGUUAUUGUUCUUGCCCUGGCAUCGACGUCACUGUCACCAUUGCAGUCAAGUGCCCUGGUAUCGAUGUCACUGCCACCAUUCAAAUUCAAAUUUCAGUCAAGUUCAAAUUUUAUGGCAACCUUCUCGAUUUCACUAUCUCUUAUAUUAACACCAAACUUCACAUAAGGGUUGGUCUUGGUAAGGGGCGGACAUCUAUUAGUUUAGGGUCAGGCAUCCUAAAGGUCAAUGUCACUGGGGUCAAAUAGUGCUGCUGGUUAAAGUUUUAUGACAAGCUUUUUGACACAAAUAAUAAGCAUGGAUAGACAGUGUGUCAUGCGCAACAACCAGGUCCCUAACUCAAAGGUCAAGGUCACAGUCGUUGGUUGAACUUCGCCAAUUUUCACUACAUAUAUACUGAUAAUGUGGUCUUCGUGUCCGGUCCAUAACUUUGACAUAAUUUAUAAAUAACUUAUGCCAGUAACCUUUCU